CACUCCCCCCGCCGCCACACACACACACAACCCCACGCUCCAUCACUCCCCUGCCCCAAUCUUACCUCCUUUUACUUCAUGCCACCUCCAAACCCCACCCCGCCCCUUCCCGCCCUGUCAAAAUCCAGGAAAGACAGGAAGGAAGGAAAGAAGGAAGAAAGAGAAGGGGAGGUAAAGAAAAAGGGGGAAGGAAGGAAAGUUAGAGAAAGAAGGAAGAAGAAAAGGAAAGAAAAGGAAAGAUGGAAGGAAAGAAAAGAGAGACAGCAGAAGAGAAAGAAAAAGGGGGAAGGAAGGAAAGAGGUAGAGAAGGAAGAAAUGAGAGACAGAGGGAGGGAAAGAAAAAGGGGGAAGGAAGGAAGGAGAGAAGGAAAGAAAAAAGGGAAUGAAGGAAGGAAAGAGGGAGUGAAGGAAGGGCGAAGAUGUAGAGAAAGAGGGAGGGAAGGAAAGAAGGAAAGAGAGAAGGAAGAAAAGAGACCAGAAGAGAAAGAAAAAGGGGGAAGGAAGGAAGGAGAGAAGAAAAAAGGGAAUGAAGGAAGGAAAGAGGGAGUGAAGGAAGGGGGAAGAUGUAGAGAAAGAGGGAGGGAAGGAAAGAAGGAAAGAGAGAAGGAAGAAAAGAGACCAGAAGAGAAAGAAAAAGGGGGAAGGAAAGAGAUAGAGAAGGAAGAGGAGAAGGAAAGAUGGGAGGGAAGGAAGGAAGGAAGGAGGGAAAGAAG